CUCGUAGUUGGAUUUCUGUUGUAUUUUUAUAAUAUUAUUAAGGUAAUAUUUAUAAUAUCAACAUCCUUCCUAUUAUAUUUUUAAUAUAUAGGAAAUUUUACUUUGAGAAAAUUAGAGUGCUUA
rnacentral:rRNA from 1 species